GCGUCGGUGGUUCAGUGGUAUAAUACUUGCCUGCCACGCGGGUGGCCGGGUGGCCCGGGUUCGAUUCCCGGCCGACGCA